UCUCCUUCAUAAGUACCGACCAUCUUCGCCGCCGACCAUCCACUCAUCCCACACCCACAAACGAGCCGCCACUACACCGCCCCCUCUCAUCUACUUUUUCCUUUCCCUCACCCACGCACACACUUUUCUUUUCCUUUUCCCCUUCUCGCUGUCCAACCCCCAGUCAAUCCCUACGCUGUAGCCCAUCUUUCGCCACCAUCGACACACGCCCACCCCGAACCACCACUGCUCCACCGCUGUUGACUCCGGUCACCAUUCACCACUGU
rnacentral:lncRNA from 1 species